GAACAGUUGUGUUGUUUAUGGAAUAUGGAAUUAACCUUAUACUCUGAAGUAAUAACUUGUGCAAGAUUUGGGGAGGAAUAGCAGGGGCAGAGGGAAGUGAGGAAAGAAAAAGGACCGAAAAACAUUCAGAGAGAUGCACUGUUUGUAAACACAUUCCAGGACAUGGCCAUCCCCUGUGGAUGCAUCUGACCAGGCUAAUGAUCAGGAUUUCCCUGCCAAUAGGAAAUCAGUAGAAAAUCUCUCAUCAGCUGGAAAAAGUAAUUAAAGAAGAGAAUUAGACAAUUUUAAUGUAUGGAAGAACAAACUUUCCUGGAAUCUGACUGCUAGCAAAAUCUUAGCUUGCAACUGCCUUCACGUCCUGUCCUUGCAGUAAGGAACUCUUCCGGCCCAUGCUCUCCCAGUACUGCAAAGCAUCGUGGCAGGAAGUGAAGGACAAGAUUUUAGGUCAGGUCCCUGAUGCUAUUAAGGAGGUAUCCAGCUGGACCUGCUGGUGAUUCAUGCACCCAACAGUAGGAGAUAUGACUGAAUCAGGAUGGC
ensembl:lncRNA